AGCGAACGCUGGCGGCAGGCCUAACACAUGCAAGUCGAACGGACCCUUCGGGGUUAGUGGCGGACGGGUGAGUAACACGUGGGAACGUGCCUUUAGGUUCGGAAUAGCUCCUGGAAACGGGUGGUAAUGCCGAAUGUGCCCUUCGGGGGAAAGAUUUAUCGCCUCUAGAGCGGCCCGCGUCUGAUUAGCUAGUUGGUGAGGUAAUGGCUCACCAAGGCGACGAUCAGUAGCUGGUCUGAGAGGAUGACCAGCCACAUUGGGACUGAGACACGGCCCAAACUCCUGCGGGAGGCAGCAGUGGGGAAUCUUGCGCAAUGGGCGAAAGCCUGACGCAGCCAUGCCGCGUGGAUGAUGAAGGUCUUAGGAUUGUAAAAUCCUUUCACCGGUGAAGAUAAUGACUGUAGCCGGAGAAGAAGCCCCGGCUAACUUCGUGCCAGCCGCCGCCGUAAUAC
rnacentral:rRNA from 1 species